GAUGACCGCUGGCGGCGUGCUUAACACAUGCAAGUCGAACGAAGCUGCUUAACUGAUCUUCUUCGGAAUUGAUGUUUUGUAGACUGAGUGGCGGACGGGUGAGUAACGCGUGGGUAACCUACCCUGUACAGGGGGAUAACAGUCAGAAAUGACUGCUAAUACCGCAUAAGACCACAGCACCGCAUGGUGCAGGGGUAAAAGCUCCGGUGGUACAGGAUGGACCCGCGUCUGAUUAGCUGGUUGGUGAGGUAACGGCUCACCAAGGCGACGAUCAGUAGCCGGCUUGAGAGAGUGAACGGCCACAUUGGGACUGAGACACGGCCCAAACUCCUACGGGAGGCAGCAGUGGGGAAUAUUGCACAAUGGGGGAAACCCUGAUGCAGCGACGCCGCGUGAGUGAAGAAGUAUCUCGGUAUGUAAAGCUCUAUCAGCAGGGAAGAAAAUGACGGUACCUGACUAAGAAGCCCCGGCUAACUACGUGCCAGCAGCCGCGGUAAUACGUAGGGGGCAAGCGUUAUCCGGAAUUACUGGGUGUAAAGGGUGCGUAGGUGGUAUGGCAAGUCAGAAGUGAAAACCCAGGGCUUAACUCUGGGACUGCUUUUGAAACUGUCAGACUGGAGUGCAGGAGAGGUAAGCGGAAUUCCUAGUGUAGCGGUGAAAUGCGUAGAUAUUAGGAGGAACAUCAGUGGCGAAGGCGGCUUACUGGACUGAAACUGACACUGAGGCACGAAAGCGUGGGGAGCAAACAGGAUUAGAUACCCUGGUAGUCCACGCCGUAAACG
rnacentral:rRNA from 1 species